rnacentral:lncRNA from 1 species
GCCACUUCUGAACUGGGUGACCUCAGGGAGCCUCAGGAUCGUUGAUGGCCCUGUGGGAAGGACAGACGCAGUGACCUCGGAGCUCCUGCAGCAGACAGGACAUGGGCAGCCCUGCAGCACAGUCAGGUGCCCCCUCUGGCCAAUGUCAGCUUCCUUCCCCGCCAUCGGGUGAGGGGGCCUCUGGCUCUGAGGAUGCUGUGUUGAGAUGUUUUUGCUCCUAUCCCCUCCUUCAGCUCUUCCUUCUGAGAAAGCACCACUUACUCCCUCUCCCAGGGAACGCUCUCUUCCGCUGGAAUGGCCACCCAAAGCUCGGACCCGGGGCAGGCCACAGAGGGAUGGCUUGGUGAGG